rfam:Schistosoma rodhaini strain Burundi genome assembly, scaffold: SROB_scaffold0000698
AUCCAGUUGACGAAUCUCAAAUAGGGCGAAACGCGGGUUUUGGAU